UGGAGAAUAAUUAGCCACAGUUUAUUUUUAA
rnacentral:piRNA from 1 species